ACACGACUACAUUAGAUACCCGUGUAGUCCCAGCCCUAAACGAUGCGCGUUAGGUGUAUCGGUGACCACGAGUCACCGAGGUGCCGAAGGGAAACCGUGAAACGUGCCGCCUGGGAAGUACGGUCGCAAGGCUGAAACUUAAAGGAAUUGGCCGGGGGAGCACCACAACGGGUGGAGCCUUGCGGUUUAAUUGGACUCAACGCCGGGAAGCUCACCGGAUAAGACAGCGGAAUGAUUGCCGGGCUGAAGACCCUGCAUGACCAGCUG
rnacentral:rRNA from 1 species